GAUGAACGCUAGCGGCAGGCCUAAUACAUGCAAGUCGAACGGUGUCUUCGGACAUAGUGGCGCACGGGUGCGUAACACGUAUGCAACCUACCUUACAUUGGGGGAUAGCCUUUCGAAAGGGAGAUUAAUACCGCAUAAGACAGUAGCUGGGCAUCCAGCAGCUGUUAAAGAUUUAUCGAUGUAAGCUGGGCAUGCGUCCAAUUAGCUAGUUGGUGAGGUAACGGCUCACCAAGGCAAUGAUUGGUAGGGGAACUGAGAGGUCAAUCCCCCACACUGGCACUGGGAUACGGGCCAGACUCCUACGGGAGGCAGCGGUAGGGAAUAUUGGGCAAUGGACGCAAGUCUGACCCAGCCAUGCCGCGUGCAGGAUGAAGGCGUUAUGCGUUGUAAACUGCUUUUAUACAGGAAGAAACGACUCUUGCGAGAGGCAUUGACGGUACUGUAUGAAUAAGCACCGGCUAACUCCGUGCCAGCCGCCGCAGUAACAC
rnacentral:rRNA from 1 species